UUGAGGAUCAUUUAAAUUUUUCUAGUCUUUUAAUUUUAUUAACAAUGCCUCAACAAAGAAACUCAAAAAUAUCCCACUUUGAUGCUAUGCAGAAAAAUUUGCAGUGAAAAAAAAAAAAAAAAAAAAAGCAAAGGGCAUUAACUACUUAGGCCAAACUCUAGGGGUCAGAGAUCACCAAGAGGUUGGAGAAGCAUCUGAAGAAACAUUCUGUAAAGAUAUAUUUCUGACUAAAGAGCCAAAAUUUCUGAGAGGGAAAAAAACACACAUGAAAUCUAAAAUUAAGAAUUCUAAUUAAAAUGUAUAAUAGCAUUGUCUGAUAGACAAUUAUAUUCAUCUGCAAGCAACCAUCCAAUCCUCCACCCUGGCCUCAUGUUCUUACACAGUAUCUAUUUUAAGUGGCCCAUUCCUCUCCUAAACUACAAGUUUAGGACCAUUUCAGGGUGCUUGGAAGUAAGUUGUUCAGGCUUUGAUAUGUGUUCAGUUUGUAAGGAGUUUUCAACAUUUAUCUUCAUAAUUAAUAAGCUAUGAAUCACAGAUAGGAUGCAAGAACAAGCAUUUAAUAUUGUCAUCCCUGAUCUGCCAGUCAUUAGGAGCUUCCAAUUUUUAAGGCUAGGGAAGAUGGGCCAAGGAGACAGGACAGGGAUCUUAGGACUUUCCUUAAACAGGGGUGAUGCCGAGGAGCCUACAUGACACAAGAAGGGCAGCAAUGCCACUCCGUUGGCUGUAGAGGAAGAGAAGACCUUCUUGAGAACUGAUAACAAAAAAGCUGUCCUGUUGCCUGGCACCCAAAUUUACACUGUUCACAUGGGGGAGCCCCAGUUCAAUCCACAUUUGAUUUGAGACAACAGGUAUUCCCCGCAGUUACUUACUGACUGCUAAUGCAAUUCUCGUAAGAAGAUAAAAACCAAAUUUCAGUCCGGACCUCAAUUUGCACAAAUAAGUAGACUAUGGAAAAUAAUAAAAUGUUGACAGAAAUGAAAUAUACUGACUGAAACACUAGACAAGAAUGAGAACCUUAUAUACAUGUGUUGGAAAAAACUACAACUGAGGAAUAAUUAAAGACAGACUUGAGAACCUCACCCACUGUACCAUACAACAAAGAGAUGGGAAAUAUAUAAGGCACAGGGAAAGAUAUGGGAGGUAAACCAAAAAAAUCUCUAGCACAGGUCAUCGGAGUCGUAGUAAAAGACAGAGAAGAUAGAAGUCAGUGUGCAAGAUUCUGCUGUGAGCAAUUUUUCACAACCUGUUUAAAAAAAUUGUCAUUACUCUAUUCCAACAAAGGUGCUUUAUCCAAUAUAUUUUUUUAAAAAGUUCUGUACUAACUCCACUCAUAAUGCUUAUAAUCCCAAGAUUAAUUAUCCAGUGGUCCUAGAGUUUCCUAGAACACAGUCCCUACACUUCUCGAUGCCCAUCUGGACACUAGUGUGAGGAAGCUGAGGGACCGGGACUGAGGCUGGCAUUUAUAGAUCUUAGCUGUGUAGGGUCAUUGGCUUCCUGAGCUUCAGCUUCUUAUACUUAAAAUGGGAGGAACAGAAUCUUUCCUAUGAAGGUAGCCCAUGAAAAUGAGAUAAGGAAGUAUGUAUGAAAUGCCUCCCACACUUUGUGUAUUUUGGGUGCUGAGCACGUAUUCACUCAAUUUCCACACACUCAUAAUGACAAUAGGGUCUUCAACACAAGAGCCAACAAAUGUCCUUCUGUCGAGUACAACACACUGAGCAUACAUCCACUGAGGUUUGAUGCCAUUCAGACCUGUAGAUCUGUGGUGUCAAAUUAACUUCUUCUAGCCAAUCCAGUGAGUUUACAAUACUAGCCCACCUACAGAUGACCCCCACCUCCAAAGGAACGUCUCUGGACUGAGCUGUGGGACAGGUAGGAGCUCCACAUGAUAUAGCUUGCCCAUUAAAGAAGUUCCCCCCACUCCUGGUGUUCAUGAUAUGUCAUGCCUCUAUUCACAUCUUGUGGAAAAAGAACAGGCUCUUUGCUCUGCUCAUUUCUGAGAAUCCUUUUUAUUGGUUAUUCAUUAUCUCAGUCAGCAGGUUUAUUGUGCCAUUCUUUUCCCUGUGCGAGGCCAUGACAUCAGGACCACAUCAGGUCCAGGGAGGCACAAGCUGCUUCCAAAAGAACACUCCAGGUAAAUUUGGGAGUUCAACGAAUUGUAGUUUCUAAAUAGAAACCUUAGCUUCAAAGACAAAGAAGUAAGGGGCCUGAAACUGUCUUGAAAUAACACAGAUGUUUGAAAUGGAAACAAAUUGAGUAGGUAAAUAAUGUGUCCCUAAUCAAUUCUAUCAAAAACUAAUAUACCCCUCUAUCAGGGAUCUUGAAAAGAGAGAUGGGAGAUAUUUUCCUCUGCCAUAAUGCAGAGGAAAUUAAUAUAUCACUUCAUCAGGGUGGGGAGGAAAUUACUGGAAACACAGUCUCAGCUAAAUGCAUGCAAUAUGAAAGCUGGUUUCAUCUUUGGGUACAAAGUCAUUGGGCUUGUGUUAAAAACAACAUCUUAAAGAUAGACACCCACUGCUUAGGGGUUGUCUCUCCAGUCCCCCAGAUGAGGUCCCAAAUUGAACGGAAUCUUUCAGGAGAUUGUACCAGGGACUCUUCCUGGUAGAAGCAAGCAGCAAAGGUUGCUGUCAUUACACACAGUGCCCUUUCUCCUUUCUUAUUUUCUCUUCACCACUGAGACACAGAUCCUGACUUAUCCAAACACUCUCAGGCUUCCCUUUGCCUGUUUGCUCCAUUCUGCCAUUAUCCUACUGAUUGGAGGACUCAGCUAUUGAUGCUGAUUGCUAUCUGGUCACAUGAAGGCUGCUGAAGUGAUCAAUGCCAGUUCAACCUCUUUCCUUCACUCCCCCGCCUUCAUAAAGGGUAGCGCUGUAGUGUCCAGUGACCCCCGCCAUCCUGCUGUCCUAUACUUACAAUUGGGUUCUGAAAAUGGUUAGAACCAAAAUGGUCUGGGAAAGGGCUGUGCUCCACGGAUGCCUGGAUCAUUUUCUCAUUUGCAGACAAUGCAUUUAGAUAAAUAAGUGAAUGCACAGCAAGAGACGCUUUCUCGAUGUAGAGGUCCAAUUCUUGGUGAAAUAACAGGCCAGUCUUCAGAGCCUAGAGAUCUCCUCACUUGUCACAUUAUAUUUCUUUUCUUCCUCUUAACUCCUCCCUCGAGGCUGUUGUGUGAUGCCCAGAGAAACCAACUACUCCAGAGCCCAAUCAGAUCCCAGUGUGCCUUGGGCUUUACAAAUCCUGGCAUAAACUGGGGCGCAGAACCCUCUUCAGUCAGCUGGAUCAGCUGAGCCCAACCUACCUGAAGAAUAACAAUAUAUGUCAGCCAGGUCCCUGUCACAUCCAAGAGAAUGAAGAUGAGCUUCAGAAGCAGGUGUUUAGAACUCAGGGUCAGACUGACCUUUAACUAACUAUCUGGGUGCAAUCAUCAGAGACUUUUAACCUCACAGAAGCUCCUCAUCGUAAGGUGACGAUUCAUAAUGGAGAUACCACAGUGCUUAGGUAUGGGGAUGGAUGGGAAGACUUCUGUGGGUUGUUCUGAGGUAGGCAAAUGUGAAAAUGUUCUUCCCUCUGUUUCCAUCAUCCUCAAAAUUCUUUACAGCCCUUACCAAAAAAGGGGAUGCUCUAUUCACAGAGUGAUAAUUAGCAUCAGGUUGGAUGAAGCUCAAAGCUUAACUUACUUAAAGACCCUCUCUGCAACUGUUGGUAUCAAAGAGAUCUAAACAUAGUGUUACAACCAAAAAGGUUGUUUCCAAUAGGAGAGGUUCUGAUAUUUUGGUAGUUCAAGUUGGAGUAAUUUUUAUCUAUAAAAUAUUUCUAUCAUUUUUGCACAAAUAACUAACCAACCUGACUUUCUUGUGAUACCCCAGGAUUGUUUUUUAUGGGAGAUAUUUAAUAUUUAAUAUUAACAUUGUGUUUUGUGGGAGUCCAAAGCCAAUCUUGUUUAUGUGAUGGGAAAAGUAUUUGUGGAAUAAGCAGCAUUUGAAAAGAGAAUUUGAAAAUAGAAGAGAAACGUUGCAAAUCAUCAAGGGAACAAGAAAGGACAAGAGUCAAGAGUUGAGGGACAACAUCCUCACAGAGAUAGUUUAGCAUUCUUCUGGCACAUUCCUCUCAGUAGUCUGUCCAUCCAUCUCUGAAAUAGGCCAUAUAUUAGGACACAAAGCAAAUCUAAACAAAUACAGGAAAAUCAAAAUAAAAUGCCUCAGGUUCUACCUUCCACAUUGGAACAAAACUAGAAAUUAAGAGUAAGAAAAGAUGCAGACACACAGAAACUCAUAAAGAACUUAUGGUACACUAUUGAAGGGUGAAGAUGUGAUAGUGUAGAGUUGGCUCUUUGAAAUAAUAAGUGUUAAAAUCAAUGAAUGCUUAGUCAAUGUAAUCAAGAGAAAGAAUAAGAGAUAAAAAUGGUGUCAUUACAUCAAAUGCCAAGUAAAUUUAGAAAAAUCAUUGUAAUACACCUUACAAACUUUCAUUCCAACAUCUUGGAAAAUCUAAAAGAAACGGAUUAGCUUCUAGAUGCAUAUAACCUACCAAAAUUAAACC
rnacentral:lncRNA from 1 species